UGGGGAAUCUUGCACAAUGGGCGAAAGCCUGAUGCAGCCAUGCCGCGUGCGGGAGGACGGCCUGUGGGUUGUAAACCGCUUUUCUCUAGGAAGAAGAUCUGACGGUACUAGAGGAAUCAGCAUCGGCUAACUCCGUGCCAGCAGCCGCGGUAAGACGGAGGAUGCAAGCGUUAUCCGGAAUUAUUGGGCGUAAAGCGUCCGUAGGCGGUUUACCAAGUCAGUUGUUAAAGACUGCAGCUCAACUGUGGGCGAGCAACUGAAACUGAUGAACUAGAGUGCGGUAGGGGUAGAGGGAAUUCCCAGUGUAGCGGUGAAAUGCGUAGAUAUUGGGAAGAACACCAGUGGCGAAGGCGCUCUACUGGGCCGCAACUGACGCUGAGGGACGAAAGCUAGGGGAGCGAAAGGGAUUAGAUACCCCUGUAGUCC
rnacentral:rRNA from 1 species